rnacentral:rRNA from 1 species
UACGUAGGGUGCGAGCGUUAAUCGGAAUUACUGGGCGUAAAGCGUGCGCAGGCGGUUGGUUAAGUCUGAUGUGAAAGCCCCGGGCUCAACUUGGGAAUGGCAUUGGAAACUGGCUGGCUAGAGUGUGGCAGAGGGGGGUGGAAUUCCGCGUGUAGCAGUGAAAUGCGUAGAGAUGCGGAGGAACACCGAUGGCGAAGGCAGCCCCCUGGGCUGACACUGACGCUGAGGAGCGAAAGCGUGGGGAGCGAACAGG